GGAUGGCGCUUUGUAUUUUAUUUUCUGCAAGGAUAUAGUUAACGAGCGGCUGUUUUGUCCAAGGUCUUGUAAUGCAUGUGCUCAGAGCGGAAUGACUUUGCCUGUUACAACACCAAUUAGCACCGCAGUAAACAUAUGUGUGGAUAAAAAUACAGUCCAGUGCCAGCAAUAUAAGGACUUUUUCUGUGAUCCCUCUAAUGCUGCUGGAAUAGACGUCUGUCCAGUGACUUGCAAGAAACCAGGAUGU